CCAGCAAAACAGCAGCAGGCAACAAGAAACCUGGAAAAAGGUCUAUCUGGUACUUCCCUCUUCUCGAAAAAGUCGCGCCUUAGCAGCAAGCCAUGAAGUUCGCCAAGGAGUACCAGAAGCAUAUGACCGGCAUGGAGGAAGAUCUGCAUGCUCUGGGGCUGGAGCGCCUCAAAGAAAUGAUCAAGAAAUACCUGCUCCCCACAGGGCCUCGGCGACGAGAGAGACGUCGCCGUCCCAGGAGGUGUUGGCACAAGGAGCAGUCAAGAACUUGGUUGAACAUUUUCCCCUUAUUUUGGACGAUCAAAUCGGGAAUGAACUCAACCUAAGUGGAUCUUGGCAUUGGAUUCACAUUUCAUUUUGCGUGUUUAGCUCGUAAAUUAACCUAUGUUUGGCUUACAGUGCUGAACCUAGCCAUCACUAUGAUCCCUGAC